rnacentral:snoRNA from 1 species
AUUCCAUGAUGAGGACAAUCUUGAAUGUAUCCUUGCAAACGUUCCUAUGCUUCUAAAAUGGUUUUAUGUCUUCUGCUGUUGGAAAUUGGUAAUUUUCCUCUUAAGGCA